CUCCUUAUGGUGUAGUUGGCUAUCACGUUCGGCUGUAAUUGCUUCAAACAGAUUGAUAACAAACCGAAAGGUCACCGGCUCGAUUCCAGUCGAGGAGA